rnacentral:rRNA from 1 species
CCUACGGGAGGCAGCAGUGAGGAAUAUUGGUCAAUGGACGAGAGUCUGAACCAGCCAAGUAGCGUGAAGGAUGACUGCCCUAUGGGUUGUAAACUUCUUUUAUAUGGGAAUAAAAUGUUCCACGUGUGGGAUUUUGUAUGUACCAUACGAAUAAGGAUCGGCUAACUCCGUGCCAGCAGCCGCGGUAAUACGGAGGAUCCGAGCGUUAUCCGGAUUUAUUGGGUUUAAAGGGAGCGUAGGUGGAUUGUUAAGUCAGUUGUGAAAGUUUGCGGCUCAACCGUAAAAUUGCAGUUGAAACUGGCAGUCUUGAGUACAGUAGAGGUGGGCGGAAUUCGUGGUGUAGCGGUGAAAUGCUUAGAUAUCACGAAGAACUCCGAUUGCGAAGGCAGUUCACUGGACUGCAACUGACACUGAGGCUCGAAAGUGUGGGUAUCAAACAGGAUUAGAUACCCCUGUAGUC